rnacentral:rRNA from 1 species
AGUGAACGCUGGCGGUAGGCCUAACACAUGCAAGUCGAACGGCAGCACAGUAAGAGCUUGCUCUUACGGGUGGCGAGUGGCGGACGGGUGAGGACUACAUCGGAAUCUACUUUUUCGUGGGGGAUAACGUAGGGAAACUUACGCUAAUACCGCAUACGACCUACGGGUGAAAGCAGGGGAUCUUCGGACCUUGCGCGAUUGAAUGAGCCGAUGUCGGAUUAGCUAGUUGGCGGGGUAAAGGCCCACCAAGGCGACGAUCCGUAGCUGGUCUGAGAGGAUGAUCAGCCACACUGGAACUGAGACACGGUCCAGACUCCUACGGGAGGCAGCAGUGGGGAAUAUUGGACAAUGGGCGCAAGCCUGAUCCAGCCAUACCGCGUGGGUGAAGAAGGCCUUCGGGUUGUAAAGCCCUUUUGUUGGGAAAGAAAAGCAGCAGGUUAAGACCCCGCUGUUCUGACGGUACCCAAAGAAUAAGCACCGGCUAACUUCGUG